GCGCAGCAGUCGCGAAACCUCCGCAAUGCGGGAAACCGCGACGGGGGACCCCGAGUGCCGUGGCAACGCCACGGCUUUUCCGGAGUGUAAAAGCUCCGGGAAUAAGGGCUGGGCAAGGCCGGUGGCAGCCGCCGCGGUAAUACCGGCGGCCCGAGUGGUGGCCGCUAUUAUUGGGCCUAAAGCGUCCGUAGCCGGGCCCGUAAGUCCCUGGCGAAAUCCCACGGCUCAACCGUGGGGCUUGCUGGGGAUACUGCGGGUCUUGGGACCGGGAGAGGCGGGGGGUACCCCUGGGGUAGGGGUGAAAUCCUAUAAUCCCCAGGGGGACCGCCAGUGGCGAAGGCGCCCCGCUGGAACGGUCCGACGGUGAGGGACCGAAGGCCAGGGGAGC
rnacentral:rRNA from 1 species